rfam:Castellaniella defragrans 65Phen complete genome
CUGCUAUCCGCCCAUCGGUCUGGCCGAGUCGCGGAAGGUUUUUCAAUCUGCAUCGUUCGGGUGAAGCACCCGUCAGGUGAAGCG